rnacentral:rRNA from 1 species
CACGUAGGCGGAUAUUUAAGUCAGGGGUGAAAUCCCAGAGCUCAACUCUGGAACUGCCUUUGAUACUGGGUAUCUUGAGUAUAGAAGAGGUAAGUGGAAUUCCGAGUGUAGAGGUGAAAUUCGUAGAUAUUCGGAGGAACACCAGUGGCGAAGGCGGCUUACUGGUCCAUUACUGACGCUGAGGUGCGAAAGCGUGGGGAGCAAACA